AAUACAAUUAUUGCUAAAGUGAAAACAUACCGCGUGGGAUUAUUAAAAGACCAAGAUGUUUUACAUUUUAAGGAUGUUCUGCAGGUUUUGUUGGUUUUUUUUUUUUUUUUUUUUCCCAGCCUUCAUGCACCAGAAGCUUGCAGGGGUUGUGUUAAACUCUUCCAUGUGAUCCCAGGGAGCUCUCCCAGUGCUCUGCCAGCCGUGGGGUUGCCCUCUGUCCCUGGCUCAGAGCUGUGGGCUGGGAAUUCCAGGGGCCCAAAUCCACGUUUCCUGCCCCUUCCCUCAGCACCAGGCACGCUCAGGAGCAGGGGCUUGGCACAGUUUGUGUUCACCAAGCAAAAGGUGAACUUCUGCUGCUGCUUCUCCCCCGUGCCCAGGUGGAGACUUGGCCAGGAGAAUUCCCAGCAGUCAGAGGAGUUCCCUGAGUGUCAUUUCCCCCCAAAUCUCAUCCCUGAGUGUCAUUUCCCACCACAUCCCAUUCCUAACUCUCAUUUCCCACCAAAUUCCAUUCCUAACUCUUUUUUCCCCCCAAACCCCAUCCCUGACUCUCAUUUCCCACCAGAUCCCAUCCCUGACUCUCAUUUCUCCAUUCCUAACUCUCAUUUUCUACCAAAUUCCAUCCCUGACUGUCAUUUCCCCCCAAAUCCCAUCCCUGCCCUUUCCCCCCAGAUCCCAUCUGAACCCAACUGUGUGCAAAGGCCUCCAGAAUUCUCCAGGUUUGUGUGCUGUGAUAAGCUCAGUCUAAUAACUACUGAUUUUAGCACCACAGACUUGUGGGAUGGUUUGGGGUGGAAAGAGCCUAAAAGAUCAUGUUGUCCCACCCCUGCCAUGGGCAGGGACACCUUCCACUCUCCCAGGGUGAUCCAAGCCCUGUCCAACCUGCCCUUGGACAUUCCAGGGGUGCAGGAGCAGCCACAGCUUCUCUUUAAUGCAAGAAAAACUCUCACAGGUUAUUUGGAAAGGAUUCUGCAAUCCUUGCUCUGUCAAGGGUGGCUUUGGGCUGAAGUUGUUUAUUAAUCCCAGGGACACCCAGCAGGAUGGAUGAGGCGAGGCCUGCGGUGAUUUUGGCCAGAGAGGAUGGAGCUGAGUUGAAAAUCAGCUGGGUGAGUCCUCAGCGAGUCCCCAGCUCAGAGAGCUCGGCCUUGCUGAGUUUAUUUGAGCACGUGUUUAAUGUUUUCCUGGAGCUGCCUGCAGCAAGGCCGAGCCCUGCAGACAUUUUCAGGUGGGUGCUGAUAAUAAAUCACUUUUUAAAUGGCCUUAGAAAGGGAGUUUGGAGCAGAGCUGCAUGCAGAUCUCUCCUGAGCAUCACUCCAUCUCCUUAAUGCCCCUCCACCUAAAUCACCUCGUUCAUGACGGAUGAAAAGCAAAUCCAGCUCCCUGGAAGAGUUCUCUGCCUUGGUUUGGGGUGGCUGGGGCUGUGCUGGUGGCUGCUGGCUGCUGACAGGACUCGUCCCCAGCAGCCCAGGCUGGCUUUUCAGCAGGCUGUCACUCAGCAGGGACAUUUCCCCUGUGAGGGGAUGCUCACCCCAGAUCCCAUCCCUGACUGUCAUUUCCCACAAAUCCUAACUCUCAUUUCCCCCCAGAUCCCAUCCCUGACUGUCAUUUCCCACAAAUCCUAACUCUCAUUUCCCCCCAGAUCCCAUCCCUGACUGUCAUUUCCCACAAAUCCUAACUCUCAUUUCCCCCCAGAUCCCAUCCCUGACUGUCAUUUCCCACAAAUCCUAACUCUCAUUUCCCACCAGAUCCCAUCCCUGACUCUCAUUUCUCCAUUCCUAACUCUCAUUUUCCCCCAGAUCCCAUCCCUGACUGUCAUUUCUCCAUCCCCAGCUCUCAUUUCCCCCCAAAUCCCAUCCCUGACUCUCAUUAAAAAAAAAAAAAAAUCCCUGCUUUAAUCAGAUUUUCUUGCGGCCACAUGAAAAAUUCCACCCCCAAAUCUGCCUUAGAGGAAUUUGUAAAGUUUUGUAGAAUCCCCCCCCAAAUCCGGCUCCAGUUCAGGUGUUUUGUAACAGCAGGAGAGUGGCAGUUUUUUGCCACACAAAACUCCUGGAAUGUUGCAAAUUCCUUUAAAAUAGAAAACCAAACAGAGCCCAGCUGAUUUUUAUGAGGUACCUUCAAAAAAACCCAUGAAUUUUUAGCAGAAUUCUGAUGAUCCCAG
rnacentral:lncRNA from 12 species